UCGUCGGACUAUCAGCCGCAUCUGCAGUUAUUAACCCAGUCAUUACGAGAUACGCGCAGUUCUGGCAACAACUGCCCCUGUUCAAGUUCUACUGGCAGUUGGCAAGAGUGAACACCAAUUCAGUCCCCGUGACGAGGAGCUAUCAAGACUCGAAUGAUGUGAAACAGUACAAAGUACCCACAGGCCUGACCUUAAUAACUCUUGAGCACAGUGAUGGGAGUGUGUGUAAGACAGUGAUCUACAAUGGCCACACACCCCUCCCUAGAGGAAGCCAAGUGGGGGGAUCACUUGAGGGCAGGAGGGUUAAGGCGGACAAGAUACCUGCAGAUACACUCAUGCAGA